CACCCCCCCGCCCCGCUCACCGGCGGUCUCGGCCGGCGCCCCCGCCACGCCGUUCAGGUAGAGGAUGGAGAGCAGUCUGCCAACAUCCCUCGCACCGAGGGGGACAUUAACGCGCAACCAGCGAAGGGACCAGACUGCAGAAUGACCCCAAGCAAUUAUAAUGCUAAAAUUCACAUGUUAUAUGAAAGACCCUUGUCUGACCGUGCAGACUGUUUCAAUUUAUCAGAAAAUCUGCCUAUUUCUCUCCAACAAGUUGGGCAAAGCUGAGCCAGUAAAGAGACCGUACAUUCCAGAAAUACUAGUUAACACCGGUAUGCAUGAAUUGUUGUCUUGAACUCAACAAAACAAAGCUGAAAAAGAACAGAGUGAAAAAUUACCGGUAAGAAGCGAAACCUGCCUUGUGUCACCUGGUGCACAGCCGAAGCAGGCACCGCUCUCCACCGGCGCGCUCCCCUUCUGUGCCUGCAGCAGAACGAGGAAUGGUGCCACUGAAAGCUGUCAUAAGGGAAAUGCACAGGAAAACUGAAUAAAAACUGUACAAAUUAUUAAAAUAUUUCCUAGUUUUAAGACUUUCUAAUCUCAGCAGUCCUUUAACAGUAUUGGUUUAUUGUGUGUGUGCUUAUAUCGUUUCCUGUUAGGAAAACCCACCAAAUUUCAUUACAGGGCAUUAUGGUAAGAGCCAGACUUUAGAUCUAUGCAGCACUCCUCUGCUACUUGAAAUAAUAAAGAACGAUCUUGGUUUUCAUCCUCUGCCUGACUGAACGCUCAGCUUCUUCUCACGAGAGGUUGCAGUGACUCAGGAAUGGCAUCGUCGGGGCAGGACGUAACUCGGGUAUCUCGAGUCCCAUUCCAAAGUCUAGAGGGAGGUGUGCCUUGGCAACUGUUUGCUCUGCACUCGAUUUGCUCCUGCCCUUCCCAAAUGUGUGUCUUAGUCCUUUACCUUCUCUUCCAAAUAAAACAUCAGUCUUCUCA